CUUUGAUUUACCUUCUUCUUUGCUAGUUGUGUUGUCUAUACUAUUGAAUAUACUAUUUGCAUUAUCUUUCUAGGUGAAUUGCCUUUUUUUUUUUUUUUUUUUUAAAGAGUAAGCACAGUGUGUGGAGUGCCAGGGGAGGGGCAGAGGGAGAGAAUCUUAAGCAGGCUCCAUCCCCAACAUGGAGCUCAAGCUCAGCUCAAUUUCACGACCCUGAGAUCAUGGCCUGAGCCAAAAUCAAGAGUAGGUUGCUUAAAGGACUGAGCCAUCCAGGCGUCCCUAAUUACUUUUUUAUUAUUUUUUAUUAUAAAAGAUUUUAUUUAUUUAUGAGAGACACACAGAGAGAGGCAGAGACACAGGCAGAAGGAGAAGCAGGCUCCUGACAUGGGACUCGAUCCCAGGUCUCCAGGAUCAGGCCCUGGGCUGAAGGCCGGGCUAAACCGCUGAGCCACCCGGCCUGCCCUAAUUACUUUUUAAAAGACAAGCUGUUUUCCUUUUUCAUUCCAUAGGAUCCCAGUAGACAAAUAAUAUACCUAAUUCCAAACCUCAGUUUCCAUCUACAAAAUGUUCCCAAGAUGAUCUCAAGACAGAAACUAAUGAAAAAGAGAGGAAUAAAACAUGAGUCCAAACAACAGGGAUAAGAAAACAAUAAGAAUAAACAACAGCAACAAAGUCAACCUAGAGAAAAAUAUACUUGAGGACUUGGUGGUUAAAAUCAGCCCCCAAAGAUGUCACUAACAAUGGCCAAUGUUGGGACAUUGACAGAGUUGUAUUGCUCCGGUUCUUUCCCCGCCUCCAUGUCCCCGUCUGGUCUAUCUGAUUGGCUGACAGCAGAUCCCUCACUUAUCACUCAACUGGCCAGUGGCUGGAACCGAUGGACAGGAUUGGAAAGUACACUCAAUGCUUCUGUUCUGAUCUCUGAGUGAGAAUCUGUAAGCUCCAUGAAGAUAGGAGAACCAUUUGCCACCUCUUCUGUUACCUCUCCCGUGGUUCUGGAAAACGAAUUGAGCAACCCCAUUGAUACUUCAGGAAUCAUUUUCUUAUCAGUGACCUCCUCUGCCACACAGCCAAGGCUGCCACUAAUAGGAAAUAACCCCCAGGAGCUUCUGCUGUGUCAGCGUGAACCAGGCACUGUGCAAAGUACAUUGUAUUUGAUCCCCUCAACGAUGGUGAUGGUAUGAGGUAGGUUUGAACGUCCCUACUUAGCACAUGAGGAAAGCCAUGGCUCAAAGAACUCAGGGUACCUGUGCAGGGACACACUGCAAGAUACAAGUGGAACCAGUUGUCCAUUCAAAUUUUUCUGAUUCUAGAAUCUAAGAUCUUAACCACUACACAUUUCUGGAAACACAUGCAGGAUGGUUCUACAUGUUUUUGAGUUGUGUGGCAUUCCUUGAAAUAGAUACAAGUGGAAAAACACACCAGAGAAUUAACAUCAGCAUCUCAGUGGACAACAAAAAAUCGAGGAAUCCUG
rnacentral:lncRNA from 12 species